UUUUGCACAAAGCAAAAGACUUAUGCGGAAACAAACCGCGUACCCAGGAGAACUGGGAUUGGACUCCUUUAAAGGAGAAACAAAAUG
rnacentral:ncRNA from 1 species